CGAAACCUGCCCAGCAGAACGACCUGCGAACACGUGAUGCCCCCGGUUACGCCGGACGGGAGGCGGUGAACGCCCCCCGCCCGGAAAAAACGAACCCCCGGCGCGAUCCGCGCCAAGGAAAACGAAAAACGGAUCGGGCGC
rnacentral:rRNA from 1 species